rnacentral:rRNA from 1 species
AUUGCACAAUGGGCGAAAGCCUGAUGCAGCGACGCCGCGUGAAGGAUGAAGUAUUUCGGUAUGUAAACUUCUAUCAGCAGGGAAGAAUAUGACGGUUCCUGACUGAGAAGCCCCGGCUAACUACCUGCCAGCAGCCGCGGUAAUA